CCUACGGGCGGCUGCAGUGGGGAAUAUUGGACAAUGGGCGAAAGCCUGAUCCAGCAAUGCCGCGUGAGUGAUGAAGGCCUUAGGGUUGUAAAGCUCUUUUACCCGGGAUGAUAAUGACAGUACCGGGAGAAUAAGCUCCGGCUAACUCCGUGCCAGCAGCCGCGGUAAUACGGAGGGAGCUAGCGUUAUUCGGAAUUACUGGGCGUAAAGCGCACGUAGGCGGCUUUGUGAGUAAGAGGUGAAAGCCCAGAGCUCAACUCUGGAAUUGCCUUUUAGACUGCAUCGCUCGAAUCAUGGAGAGGUCAGUGGAAUUCCGAGUGUAGAGGUGAAAUUCGUAGAUAUUCGGAAGAACACCAGUGGCGAAGGCGGCUGACUGGACAUGUAUUGACGCUGAGGUGCGAAAGCGUGGGGAGCAAACAGGAUUAGAUACCCCGGUAGUC
rnacentral:rRNA from 1 species